rnacentral:misc_RNA from 1 species
GAUGAAGAACGUAGUGAAAUGCGAUAAGUAAUGUGAAUUGCAGAAUUCAGUGAAUCAUCGAAUCUUUGAACGCACAUUGCGCCCCCUGGUAUUCCGGGGGGCAUGCCUGUCCGAGCGUCAUUACAACCCUCAAGCUCAGCUUGGUGUUGGGCCCCGCCGCCCCGGCGGGCCCUAAAGUCAGUGGCGGUGCCGUCCGGCUCCGAGCGUAGUAAUUCUUCCCGCUCUGGAGGCCCGGUCGCGUGCCCGCCAGCAACCCCCAAUUUUUUUCAGGUUGACCUCGGAUCAGGUAGGGAUACCCGCUGAACUUAAGCAUAUCAAUAAGCGGAGGA